GAUGAAGAACGUAGCGAAAUGCGAUACUUGGUGUGAAUUGCAGAAUCCCGUGAACCAUCGAGUCUUUGAACGCUAGUUGCGCCCGAAGCCAUUAGGCCGAGGGCACGCCUGCCUGGGUGUCACACACCGUUACCCUCGCGCCAACGUCCAUCGUUGGCCGCGGCGCGGGGCGUGUGCUGACCUCCCGCGAGCGGGGUCUCGUGGUUGGUUGAAAAUCGAGUUCGCGGUCGAGGGUGCCGUGAUGAAAUGGUGGAUGGGCGACGCCCGAGGCCAAUCACGCGCGACUCCGUCCGGCUCGGACUCCUGGACCCCUUCGGCGUCUCCGGACGCUCUUUGGCGAGACCUCAGGUCAGGCGGGGCUACCCGCUGAGUUUAAGCAUAUCAAUAAGCGGAGGA
rnacentral:misc_RNA from 1 species